GAUGAACGCUGGCGGCGUGCCUAAUACAUGCAAGUCGAGCGAACGGACGAGAAGCUUGCUUUUCUGAUGUUAGCGGCGGACGGGUGAGUAACACGUGGAUAACCUACCUAUAAGACUGGGAUAACUUCGGGAAACCGGAGCUAAUACCGGAUAAUAUUUUGAACCGCAUGGUUCAAAAGUGAAAGACGGUCUUGCUGUCACUUAUAGAUGGAUCCGCGCUGCAUUAGCUAGUUGGUAAGGUAACGGCUUACCAAGGCAACGAUGCAUAGCCGACCUGAGAGGGUGAUCGGCCACACGGGAACUGAGACACGGUCCAGACUCCUACGGGAGGCAGCAGUAGGGAAUCUUCCGCAAUGGGCGAGAGCCUGACGGAGCAACGCCGCGUGAGUGAUGAAGGUCUUCGGAUCGUAAAACUCUGUUAUUAGGGAAGAACAAAUGUGUAAGUAACUGUGCACAUCUUGACGGUACCUAAUCAGAAAGCCACGGCUAACUACGUG
rnacentral:rRNA from 1 species